UUUACCUCAAGAGUUCAGCCCCGGCCACCAUCGGACACUGACAACUAUACUCCGGUUCUAGGAGACACAAUCCGAUUGGACCCAUCCAGCUUCUGGAUUGAUUCUCCCAGGGUCAAAUGUCCACCCACAGUCCAAUCAGCUGGACCUCAGAAGAGGCUGGGGGAAAGGGGCCUCCCUGCUACCGUCUAAGGACGAUUUGCGCCACUAAGCGGUGGGACAGGCUGGGUGGGAGGACCCCUGACCCGGGGACUCAGUCAUGCUGUGUCUUCUGUCUCUGCCUCUCUGUGUGUCAGCCUUGUUCUCUCCCUGCAAGCUGGUGAUCUCCAUGCGGCUCCCAGCAACUCUGGAUCUACACGUCUGGGAGAAGGAAAGCUCCUUCCACUUUCAACAUGAUGAAUCCCAGGGAAGAAUGCUGGUUAGCCCCGCUUAGGUCAUGGAGAAGAUAAGGGAAACUGAGGCUCUGAGGGACAGAAGCACCUAACCCCGUGGAGCAGGUUUCACCGGAGGACUUCCGACUCCAGCGUGGAUUCUUUCCAUUGCUGUGUGCCGCUUCACUCUCUGUGGACCCCUGAGCAGUUAACCAUAGCCGACCUGGAGCCUGGCCGGUACUUCCAGAGGAGAAACCCCUCUGAGGCUCCACCAUCUCCAAGGUGCCUGCUCGAGGACCUCCCCCAAUCUCCCUGUCCGGAUGUGGGGACCCUUCUGUGGCCAUCACCUCAGAGAUGACAGGCCUGGCAAUGGUCAGCUUGCUCCAGGGAAGUCUUGAGGGAAAUGCAAUCACUGUUUACACAUCCCUGUGGGACUCAGAUUUAGGUCAGAUGAAGCACAUGUGUCCUGGAAACCCCCGAAAAGACAUAGGAAGGUUCCAACCUGAUGUGACGAGAGACUUCUAGUGGCUAGAGAUGUCUCCAGGACAAAUGUACGUUGCUGGGUGAGGUGCGGGUCCCCUGUCGCUGGAGGCCUAUGGUUUGAGAUUGACUCUCCCGUUGGAGGACAGGACGAGGAGCCGCACGUGUGGAUUAUACCCUGUGACAUUCUUAGUCCCCUCUCAGCCCUGAGCUUUGCAGGUUUCUGUACUCGUGGAAGCUUUAUUUCCAUUCCAUUCCUUUUGUUAUAGAGAAUACUUAAUGUGAUGAACUUUGCCAUUUGCUUCCCAGCAUCCUCCCAGCCCUCCCAGCAUUCCAGAACAGCUGCCAUUCCGUUCUGGUGGGACUGGCCCCACCCCAGCCCGGGUGGGGCAUGGGGGUGGUGGCGGGGACAGAGGCCCUGGUUCACCUCCGCCAAUGAGCAUGACGCCAUCUCUUGCCACAGCGUUGGUUUGCCGGGUGGGCAGUAACUGAAAACAAAGGCAAUCGGGACAGAGUUUUCUCUUGGACACAGAUUUAGGUUCAGAUGUGGGCAUGGGACCUCAGCAGCACAAGCCUGGGUACCCCCCAGGACCAUGGUGCGCCAGCUGCGGGAAAGACUGCUCCGUCUCCGGUGGGCCAGGCUGAGGAAGCGCACACUCGGGAUAGCAGAUCCACUCAGCGCCCUCCCCGUACCGCCCCCCACACCCCUGUCCCAUUUCCAAUCAUCAGCUCUGGCUUGUUUUGUUUUGUCUUUUUUUUUGGCCUACUGUGCCUGCUUCCGGGACAGGCCUGAAGUACCAGGGCCACUCGAUGGGGUCAGUUUACCAUUUUCCUGCUAGUGUCUCUGGUGAUCACGUCUCAAAUAAACGUCCUUGCCUCAGGAUCCGGGGGGAAAUCUAGCCUAUAGCACCUGGAUUGCCGCUGACAGCCACCCGGAAGCCUUCAUGAGAGCCCCUGUUAAGCCAGCUUGAGUUGGGGCUUCUAACACCUGCACGCAAAAGCCUCGAGGGGGAGGUAAUUCACUGCCCAGAGGGCCCCAAGCAUGGCCUUGGAGAAUGGGGUGGCCCACGUGAAUGUUGGGUGAGGCGGGGAAAGAGCGUGCCGUGGAAGACCGUUGCGUGGACCUCUCAGCUCGGCCACCUAGGAGCUGCUUGCUUGGCCUCUCCAAGGCUUGCUUCUUCCUCUAUAAAACAGGAUGGUGCCACCAGCCUUUCAGGAUUCAGGACCCAGCUGACCGGAAAGCGAGUGUCCCCAUGGAACUCCGCACCCAGACCUUUACAGCAGCUUUGUGCGUCGUGGCCCCAGACCCGAAGCAACCGAGAUGCCCUUCUCUAGGUGAACGGGUCAACAGACCAUCAAAAUUCUGUCUCCGAGUAAUUGCAGAUUAUUCAGUGAUACCACAAAAUGAGCUAUGAAGCUAAGAUACGGUGGAAGCUUCAACGCGUAUUGUGAAGGGAAAGAAGCCAAUCUGAAAAGGCCACAUUCUGUGUGAUUCCAAGGAGGUGGCGUCUUGGAAAAGAACACAACUCUAGAAGAAGUAAAGAGCUCGGCGAUGCCAGGGAUUGGGGGAAGGCUGACCAGAAGAAUCAUCUAGAAGGUCAUCGGAUUCCAGGACGGAGUGCGGAAUGUGACCGAACAAUGUAACCGAAUGACAAAUGUGUGAAUGAACUGGACUGAAGGGGGUGGGACAAAGGUGCCGACCUAAGUGAUUCUGGAAACGGAAGAGGAUAAAGAUGGAAGAGCUGAAUACAAGUGGCGCUCUAGCUGUACUCGAAGGUCCCCCCGCCCCCAGGGGAGCUUUCUGACAGUUACAUGUGGACAUAAGCACCUCGGUGAACUGAUGGAGACUGGCUCCUCACUGUCAAGAUGGAGGUUACAAAUAGGUAGGAAGAAGAGGCUAGAAUAAACCUAUCUUUAGCACAGCAUCAUACCCUAUGGGUGGCUACAUAUAGAAAUAUUUAAAAGUAUGUAGAGGCACAUGGCUUUGUAUACACGCAGAUAUGUUUUUGCUCCAGCAGCUGAGCAAGGCCUGGAAGCAACAAUAUCCCAACGUCAAUGCACACACCUGGUACCCAGAUCUUGGUUUCUAACACUAUUCUCCAAUAAAAGGUGCCAGGACUCCUCGGAGAAAGGCUGAUUCUGGAACUGGGGCAGGAAAUACACAAAUGAGCUAGAAGCAUCUAGUAGUGCCAAAAAGUAAGAAAGUACAUUCUUGUGUGCAUGUGCUCUCUCUCUCUCUCUCUCACAUACACACACACACACACACACACACACACACACACAAUGCACGCACAGUGAUGGAGGCUUGUCGAAGGACACAGAAGACAAGUGACUGUUCCUAACAGUCAAAGCUAGAACAAUUUGAGCAAUGAAAUAAAGCAGUAUUGGAUUAUAACUCAAAAUAUAAAAUCAAGGCCCAAGGGUCCAUAGUGACAUAAAGGAAUAAACAGAAGAGUCAAGCCUCCUGUACAGAAGAAUUCCAAGUAAUCUGUGUAGAUCAUCUGCCCUUGGGGAGGUGGGACAUAACUCCCCAGUCCUUAAAUACUGGUUGUGCACAGUGACUUCUUUCCAAAGAUCACAGUGUGGUCGGGGUGGAGGGAAGGUGGAAAGAGCCACUUUAGCAUGGAGAAAUCCAACAGUUACCUCGCCAGGUGACCAAAGUUAACCUUAUCAGUGAUAAGCCGUGUCGAUAUUACGAACUCUUGAUAGAAUAUGAUGCAAAUAGCACCAUGCCUGUCUGUGGUCUUUCUCUCAAGAACACAUAAUUCCUGCCUGUUCACUAGAGAAACUUCAGGAAAAAUCCCAACUGAAGGACCUUCUACAAAAUACUUGACUUGACCAGUACUCCUCAAAAUUGUCAAGAUAAUAAAAAACAAGGGAAGUCUGAGAACAGUUCUAGCCAAGAGGAGACUCAGGAGAUAGGACUGCUACGCAGAAAGUUUAUUCUUUUUUUAACCCAUGGAAACAAUAAAUGCUAAGUAAGGCUAGCUAGGACCCAGAACACUCGAAGAAUCUACUCAACUAACAGAUAUAGAAAUAUUUUCUGAUGAGUAUUUUGUUCAAGUUCAUUCUUUGUAAGUAUAGAUCGAGGGUUAAAAAAAACAACAACUGGAUCUUUGGAUGAACAUGACAGAAAAGUAUAAAUUUUGGUAAAAUUUUAUCUUAGGAUGACAGAGAAUUGAUAAUAUUUUUAUUAAAAGAGAGUUAUUAGAAAUUAAUGUAAAGUAUAUAUACUCUUGUAUCAUCACCUCUGAUUUUAAAAUUUAAGUCCACAAGCGCCAAAAAAAAGAUGUCAGUUAUAAUUCUUGUAGAAUAUGAAAACAUCGGGGGAAAAUUAAAUUUUCUCUUUGGGAUGAACUCAAUGUAUUAUGCCCCCCGAAACAAUCUAAGAACAAUGUCGACCCUCAGAUCCAAUCCCUCCUCACUACACAGGUUGGGGACUGUGUUCUCCAGCUCAGCAGAAGCCUGAGGCUUCAUUUUCUGGACAGGAUAAAAUGAGGAUAUCCAGACAGGAAGACAGCAGGCACGGAUGAGUGGGGAGUAUUAAAAAUGGUAUUAAAUGUUAGUUUACUUAAUAGAUGUUGAAACCUCCAGUGUUCUUCCCCCGCUCUAAUCUUGAAGUACCCACAGUGAGGCAUACACGGUCCUACACGAUCCAGGCAUGGACUGUGUAGGCAUUCCCUAAUAAAAUGUAUGGCCUGAUAGUCUAGAGAGAACCCAUAGUCACCAAGCGCCCCCAACACAUACACACACACACACUCACACACAUGCACCGUGUGUACCGCAAAACAUCCAGUUAGAUAUGGGGGUCUUCCUCAGACAAGAAGACAGCCAGGAAUCAUCUACCUCUUGAGGAAAGUGUAUCUACUAAGAGACAAAAGCAACUUAGAAGAAACAGAGGGAGAAGAAAACAGGAGAAAUGGUCGUGAAUAUCUUCAGAGAGAUGAAAAGAAUUACCGCGUGUAUGAGGCAUACGAGAGGAACCAUAGAAUGGACAUCCAGAGAACAGAACACAAGCCCUUAGACAUUAAACCCAUAGUAAGAACAACAGUUCAGUACGUAAAGAGGAUGGAAAGACGCACCAAAGGCUAGGAGAAAAUAUUUGCAAAACACACAUGUGAUAAGGGCUUGUAUCUAAGAUACACAAAGAGGGACGCCUGGGUGGCUUAGGGGUUGAGCAUCUGCCUUCAGCUCAGAGGGUGAUCCCAGGGUCCGGGGAUCAAGCUCCACAUUGAGGACUCUCUCCGUGCGGGAAGCCUGCUUCUUCCUCUAUGUGUCUGCCUCUCUCUCUGUAUGUGUCUCUCACGAAUAAAUAAAUAAAACCUUUAAAAAUAAAUAAAUAAAAUAUACAAAGAACUCUUAAAACUGAACAAUAAGAACACAAACAACCCAAUUUUAAAAAAAACAAGCAAACGAUCUGAACAGAUUCCUUCUCCGAGGAGAUAUACAGACGGCAGUAAACACGUGAAAGUCUGCUCCACAUCAUGCAUCAUCAGGAAGUAUAAAUUAAAAUAACGAGACACCACUACACGCUAGUUAGAAUGGCUGAAAUCCAAACCACUGACAACACCAAAUGCUGGUGAGCGCGUGGUGCGACAGGAACUCUCAUUCAUUGCUGGUGGGAAUGCGAAGCGGUGCGGCCCCUUCAGCAUGCAGUCCCCAAGUCUCUCACAAAGCUAACCAGAGCCUACCAUGCAAUCCAGCUCCUCGGCAUUCACCCAAAUGAGCUGAAAACCUUUGCACACACACCUGCACGUGAACGUGUAUAGCAACUGUAUUCACGAUUGCCCCAUCCUGGAAGCGACCAAGGUACUCUUCAGUAGGCGCCUA